GUGGUACAGAGCCAAAAGUCGGCUGUUUUAGAAAAGUGACUAUGUACAGAUUCCCUGAACUUAGUAUCUGAUUCUAUCUUCUAAGUAGAUAAUAUUCUUAAGAAGUCUCAAGCACAGUAGUACAUUUUUUAUGUCAGCCCACAAUGCCCUUUGAAAUCUUUUUAUGGAAGCUCAGAGAAGACAAAGAAUUGGAAAACGUAGCUUUAGAAAUCUACUUUUAAAAACUGAUGGAAGCACAGAGGCAUUUACAGUUAAUCCACAGAUUCGUGAAGCUGCAAUUUUUAAAAAUUUCCUUACUUCAUGACUAUAUGAAACAUAGAGGAAUGAAUGGUAACCUUUGUCAUAUUAAAAUAUCACUGUCAUAUGAGAGGAUUUCUUCAGAAUCUGCUGGUCUUUGAAUAUCCAUUCAUAUUUAAGGGUGAGGUACUAAAAAGAAGCCAGGACACUUCUUCAAGGAGCUAAGCAUACACAACUGGCCCAGAAAUCAGAGAAACUGAGGGAGAAUCGAGAGGUACAAGGGCCAGCUUCAGGCUCCACCAUUGCCUCAUGCCACCAGAUAAAGAAACUCUCAGAGAGAAGUAAAAAUAUGCCCUAAAUUACCACAGCUAGCAAAUGGCAGAGCUGCAAUGUCAAACCAAGAUUGAUCUUCCUCCAGAGCCCACUGCAAUUCAGUUUUAGGAUGUUAUAACUAUUCAUUAUAUUUGCAUCUGUUGUUUUUGUACGAUUUUGUCUAAUAUGAAUUUUCUACAUGAAUCAUGCAUUCUUUAAACUUGGAUAUACCUUUCCUUAGAAUAUAGGAUUAAGAAUGAACAUUUUUUUAUUUUAAUAUACUAUUUGCUACUCAGUUUAUUGAUAUUUUAUAAAUUGUUUAUGUACUUUCUUACAUGUUUAUAUAGAACAUUCUUCUGUAGGAUCAUUCAUCAGAAUCCCUUUCAAAAACUUAAGAUUUCAGUUUUUGGUUGCUUGCAUGUUAUUUCUUAAACAUUUACUGAUAAGUUGCAUUCCCUUACAGAUUAAAGUAAUGACUUAAAUUUGCUUUACUUUGAUAUGAUCAGAUUUUUACCUUAUUAAAUACAAAUAUUUUCGUCUCACAAAGACUGUAUUUUCAUCUUUGUAUUUGUAUUCAAAUUUGUAUUCUAGGGUUAUAAUGCUAUUGGGGAGCACCAGUAUAUUCUUGGUUUUAGUCUGAAUAAAAAAAGACCAAAAUAGUAUGUAAUCAUUGAGUCUUGGCAUUUGAGGGUGGUGGCAAUAAAGCGUUGGUUUAAAAUGUCAUCUGUCUUCUUUUCUUUUGUAGGACUAAGACAGGAACUUCCUUUAGAUCAAGGCUGAAGCUUGGGAAUAGGGUUAAAACUCAAGCAUCCUUUUCUGUUUCAUAACAUUAUCUUACACUUCUGUUUCUAGAGUUUCACUUUUAUUUAUUUAUUUUUUAGUGUAUUGGGCAAAAAGGGAGCAUUUAUAAUUAUAACUUUUGUUAUGUUCAUGUAACUCAUAAAGUUAUGUUUGCUUAUUUUCAGUUUCUUUCCAGGAUGCGAUCUUCAGAGAAGCACAGGAUGGCUUUAGGUGUACCUCAUCACCACUAGGAAGAUAGCUGUGCCUGCCUUUGCUGUAAAUGCGUCCCUGUUUAUGACUGGAGCAUGGCUUCAGAGAAGAGAAGAUGAGCUACAGAGACAGUGGAAAGAAACUCUCUCGCUGAGAAAGAAGAUAGUCCACCAGCAGGAACACAGGCAUUGAAAGUGAGCUACAGAAAUAAAGUGCCCAUUCUGAGGAACAACGGAAUGAACCGAAUGCAUAAAACAAGUUAUAUGGACAGGCCAAACGUCAGGUCCUCCUCUGAGAAUGGAGUUAAUAAUGGAACUUGGUCUUAGGAUGCCUGAGGUUGCAUAUAUAUCAGACACACAAAAGAUACAAAAUUCAAUCUGUGCUUGAAGGGAGCUUCUCAUGGGAGAUGGAAGAAGAGCAAGAUUUGGCCACAAGAUAUAUCUGUGCGAGAUUUGGAAGGUGAAAAUAAAGCCGUAAUUGUGUUCACUCUGGGAAACUUGAUCAAGUCUGGCUCUUCUGCAGCUCAUCAAAGUUUCUACAGAUGGAGAAGUUAAAAGAUUUGCUCAAGGUCACAGCGCUGGGUCUAGAAGACGUUGUGUUGUUUUUCAGCCCACUUUCCUGCUUCUCAGUGGAAAUUAUGACACAGAAAAGUUAUGCCAAAGAGAAUACUGUCAAACUUAGCAGAAGCUAAUUAAAGUGCGAAGUAUUCUUAAUGUAAGAUUUCAUAGCAAUUUGUUUCGGGAGCAAGUUACAGUGCCAGAGUCCGUUAGUUGCCAGGACCUGCUUGAAGUAGUAAGAUGAGAAUGAACGUGGCACCUGUUGGGCACAGCGGAGAAGAGAGCUAGGAUCCAUUUGCAGUGUCCACCAUCAUUCUAAGUUCACCACAGAAUUCCCCCAGAGACCAGUACCUUGCUUGACACAAAGGAGAAACUCUAUAAAUGUGAUAGAUGGAUAAAAGAAGAAAAAAGUCUCAAUAUUAUCAAUUGGAAAUUUAUCAAUCAACAUCAGUUUUUCUUAUUACUGUUCGUGAUGUGAUGAUUGUCUUCUAUACUUCCAGAAACAGGCCUUUUCCUGUUGAAUUGAGGAGAGCCACUUUGUGUUUUAUUUGGAGCAAUAUAAAAGACUUUGAAGAUUUUCAACUGAAGAUUAGCCCUGAGCUAACAUCUGCUGCCAAUCUUCCUCUUUUUGCUGAGGAAGACUGGCCUUGAGCUAACAUCUGUGCCCAUCUCCCUCUACUUUAUAUGUGGGAUGCC
ensembl:lncRNA